CAGCGCCACAAGUGGGGACCAUGUUUAUUGGGCCUAAAGCGUUCGUAGCUGGUUCUGUUAAUCUUUUGUGAAAUCGUUGGGCUUAACCUAACGGCGUGCAGGAGACACUGCAGAACUUGGGACCGGGAGGGGUUAGAAGUAUUUCUGGGGGAGCGGUAAAAUGCAGUAAUCCCGGGAGGACUACCUGUGGCGAAGGCGUCUAACCAGAACGGGUCCGACAGUGAGGAACGAAAGCCAGGGGAGCGAACCGGAUUAGAUACCCGAGUAGUCC
rnacentral:rRNA from 1 species